GGCUAUGAAAGAACUUCUUAUUGUGGUGGGAUCGCGCAUGGGCAGGAUGGUGUAACCAUCCGGCAUAAGCCACCCAUGCGCGACGACAGGCUCCUUGAAGGGGCCUUUUUUUAUGCCCGGUA
rfam:Martelella sp. AD-3, complete genome.